rnacentral:lncRNA from 1 species
GUACAAACACAAAAGACACGCCGAGGGGCCGCGGGGCCCGCCGAGGUGCCGUCUGCCCUAGUCCGUCCCCGGGCCGCAGCCCCUCCCCGCCGGGCGCAGGCGUCACGGGUCUCACUAUGAAGCUCAGACUGGGUUUGAACUCAUGAUCCUCUGCCUCACUCUCUGGCAUAGGCCAUGACAACCCAGCUCUGGUGAGCCUUUUGAAUCUCAUAACCUAUAGUUUCUCCCUGUGUUCAUACU